rnacentral:rRNA from 1 species
GACGAACGCUGGCGGCGUGCCUAAUACAUGCAAGUCGAACGCUGAAGGAGGAGCUUGCUUCUCUGGAUGAGUUGCGAACGGGUGAGUAACGCGUAGGUAACCUGCCUGGUAGCGGGGGAUAACUAUUGGAAACGAUAGCUAAUACCGCAUAAUAGCAGUUGUUGCAUGACAACUGUUUGAAAGGUGCAAUUGCACCACUACCAGAUGGACCUGCGUUGUAUUAGCUAGUUGGUGGGGUAACGGCUCACCAAGGCGACGAUACAUAGCCGACCUGAGAGGGUGCUCGGCCACACUGGGACUGAGACACGGCCCAGACUCCUACGGGAGGCAGCAGUAGGGAAUCUUCGGCAAUGGACGGAAGUCUGAACGAGCAACGCCGCGGGAGUGAAGAAGGGUUUCGGAUCGUAAAGCUCUGUUGUAAGAGAAGAACGAGUGUGAGAGUGGAAAGUUCACACUGUGACGGUAGCUUACCAGAAAGGGACGGCUAACUACGUG